AGAGACAGCAGUAGCCGCGGGAAUACGUAGGUCCCGAGCGUUGUCCGGAUUUAUUGGGCGUAAAGCGAGCGCAGGCGGUUAGAUAAGUCUGAAGUUAAAGGCUGUGGCUUAACCAUAGUACGCUUUGGAAACUGUUUAACUUGAGUGCAAGAGGGGAGAGUGGAAUUCCAUGUGUAGCGGUGAAAUGCGUAGAUAUAUGGAGGAACACCGGUGGCGAAAGCGGCUCUCUGGCUUGUAACUGACGCUGAGGCUCGAAAGCGUGGGGAGCAAACAGGAUUAGAGACCCGCGUAGUCCCUGUCUCUUAUACC
rnacentral:rRNA from 1 species